ensembl:lncRNA
GGGACUUACUGAAGCUUCAUUGCUCCAUGGGAAUGACCUCUUCCGUGGUGACCCCUGUGGGGGUGUGGUAAGUCUGUGUGCUCCAUCAAGGGAGGUGACGGGUGUAGCUGAUUCCCCAUGGGAACUGGCUGGAACAGUGGACACAGUUGCUCCCUUAGAAGAAGCACCAGGCAGAGGUACUUCCUCUGGCAAUGCAGAAGGCACAGGCGCUCUCUUAGGGGAUGUGGUGGGUACAGGUACUUCUCUGGGGGAUGCACAGGACAUAGGUGCUUCCUCAGUGGACCUGGACGGUACAGGUGCUUCCACAGGGGGUGCAGCAGGCACAGGGGCUCCCUUGGAGGACCUGUUCAGAAGAGGUGCUCCCACUUCAGUAGACCCAGCGGGUACAGAUGCUCUCUCAGGGGACCUGGCCAGACGAGUUGCUCCCUCAGCGGAGGUGGUGAGUAAAGAUGCCUCCUUGGGGUAUGCAGUAGGCACAGAUGCAUUUAGAGGUGACCUGGCUGGAACAGGUGCUUCCUCCAAGGACGCUGCAGGCACAUGUGCUGCCUCAGAGGAUCUGGCUGGAAGAUGUGCUCCCUCAGGGGAGGUGGUGAGUACAGAUGCCUCCUCAGGGUAUGCAGCAAGCACGAAAGACUUCAGAGGUGACCUGGCUGGAAGAGGAUCUCCCUCAGAGGACCUGGUUGGAAGAGGUGCUCCCUCAGGGGAUGCACCAGGCAAAGGUGUAUCCUCAGGAGUCCUGGCCAGAUCAGGUGCAUCCUCAGGGGAUGCAACAGAAUCAGGUUGCCCAGGGGAUGUGGUGGGAACAGGUGUCCUGGAAGAUGUAGGUCGUCCCAUGGGUUUCCUUAGGGGCAAAGGCGUUAAGAUGAUAUUUCUUGUCACAUACUGCCUGAUAUUUUCAGGGACCCUUAUUUUUCUGUUCAGUGGGGGCCUGGCAGGCACAGGUGCUCCCUGUUGGGACCCAUUGGCAGCAGUUACUCCUUGCAGGGUUCUGGCCAGAACAGGUGCUUCCUCGGGGGAUGCAACAGGCACAGGUGCUUGCUCAGGGGAUGCUGGGGGUAUAGGUCGUCCCAUGAGUUGCCUUAAAGGCAAAGAUGUUAAGAUGGAUUUCCUUGUCAGAUACUGCCUCAUAUUUUCAGGGAUCCUCAGUUUCUGCCUCAGUGGGGGCCUAGCUGGCACAGGUGCUUCCUGUUUGGACCCGUCAGGAACAGUUGCUCCUUGCAGGGUUCUGGCCAGAACAGGUGCUUCCUCGGGGGACGCAACAGGCACAGGUGCUUGCUCAAGGGAUGCUGGGGGUAUAGGUCGUCCCAUGGGUUGCCUUAAAGGCAAAGGUGUUAAGAUGGAUUUCCUUGUCAGAUACUGCCUCAUAUUUUCAGGGAUCUUCAGUUUUUGCCUCAGUGGGGGCCUAGCUGGCACAGGUGCUUCCUUUUGGGACCCGUCAGGAACAGUUGCUCCUUGCAGGUUCCUGGAAAGCACAGGCACUUCCCAUUGAGACUCGUCCGGAACAGUUGGUCCUUGAAGGUUCCUGGAAAGCACAGGCAUUUCCCAUUGAGACUUGUCCGGAACAGUUGGUACUUUUGUGGUCCUGGAAGACACAGGCACUUCCUGUUGGGACCCGUUGGGAACAACUGGUCCUUUUAGGAUCCUGGAAGGCACAGGCACUUCCUGUGUGGAGCUGACAGGAACAGGUGCUCCUUGUGGGGCCUCUAUUUCCUGGUCUAUAGGGAGGUCCCCACACUCAACCUUCUCACAUGAGGAGCGUAAAUGGUCUUCGAUCUCCAUCACUGCCCACCACCGCCCAGCAAGGAGGGCUGUGAUGAGCUCCUCAUGCUCAUCAAAGGGGAUGAGGGUUUCUGUUUUUUGGAUAAGCAUCUUUGAUGGAAUUAAGACAAGUUAUCCAAAAAAAGUGUAUAAUUUCAAACGUUUUUUAAACAAUUAACUGUAUCUGUGAAACACUGUAAGAGAAAGAGAGAGAAGAGGUGAACAAAUAAAAGCAGGUUCAUUUUUUUAAGACUAGGCUAUGCCUACAGGAUGCAAAGGAGGAUGAGUCUUUGCAAAAAAUGUAUUAAAAAUGUUCACAGCAACUAAGCAGAUUAACUUGUGUUGUAAUAAUUGUACCAAUGAAUAUGCAUAACAGAGAUGCAUAUAUUGUGAGCCAUAUAAUGUAAAAACACAUAAUUUUUCUUAUAUACGCGGUUGUCUAUAGGCUAUAAGUUUUAUUUUUUUCUUUAUUAUUAUAUUAAUUACUUGUUAUAGCACUUAUAUUUAAUUGCUCUUUUGUUGUUUUUGAUUGCUUCCAUUGUCCUCAUUUGUAAGUCGCUUUGGAUAAAAGCGUCUGCUAAAUGACUAAAUAU